AAAUAUAAGCAAGUUGAAAGUAGUCACCAACCUAGACGUCCUCCUCCUCCUCCUGUAAUGCUUGAUAGUGAUCACCCUUGUUUUUAAUUUAUCGAUAGUGAAUUUCUACAUGAUGUUGCAGUAAGUGAUAGAUUAGAUGAUGAAGUUAUGAAUGCUCUUUAUCCUAAUGAACCUAUCUUAGAGGAAAAUGAGGAUGAUAAUGAUGAUGAUGAAACCCAAGCACCAGAUU
rnacentral:lncRNA from 1 species